rnacentral:rRNA from 1 species
CUCCUUGAUUCAGCGGCGGACGGGUGAGUAAUGCCUAGGAAUCUGCCUGGUAGUGGGGGACAACGUUUCGAAAGGAACGCUAAUACCGCAUACGUCCUACGGGAGAAAGCAGGGGACCUUCGGGCCUUGCGCUAUCAGAUGAGCCUAGGUCGGAUUAGCUAGUUGGUGGGGUAAUGGCUCACCAAGGCGACGAUCCGUAACUGGUCUGAGAGGAUGAUCAGUCACACUGGGACUGAGACACGGUCCAGACUCCUACGGGAGGCAGCAGUGGGGAAUAUUGGACAAUGGGCGAAAGCCUGAUCCAGCCAUGCCGCGUGUGUGAAGAAGGUCUUCGGAUUGUAAAGCACUUUAAGUUGGGAGGAAGGGCAGUAAGUUAAUACCUUGCUGUUUUGACGUUACCGACAGAAUAAGCACCGGCUAACUCUGUGCCAGCAGCCGCGGUAAUACAGAGGGUGCAAGCGUUAAUCGGAAUUACUGGGCGUAAAGCGCGCGUAGGUGGUUUGUUAAGUUGGAUGUGAAAGCCCCGGGCUCAACCUGGGAACUGCAUCCAAAACUGGCAAGCUAGAGUACGGUAGAGGGUGGUGGAAUUUCCUGUGUAGCGGUGAAAUGCGUAGAUAUAGGAAGGAACACCAGUGGCGAAGGCGACCACCU